rnacentral:rRNA from 1 species
UACGGAGGGUGCGAGCGUUGUCCGGAAUUAUUGGGCGUAAAGAGCUCGUAGGCGGUUUGUUGCGUCGGCUGUGAAAUCCCGAGGCUCAACCUCGGGUCUGCAGUCGAUACGAGCAAACUAGAGUGUUGCAGGGGAGACUGGAAUUCCUGGUGUAGCGGUGAAAUGCGCAGAUAUCAGGAAGAACACCCGUGGCGAAGGCGGCUCUCUGGGACGGUACUGACGCUGAGACGCGAAAGCGUGGGGAGCGAACAGG